CCAUAUAGAGAUGCAAAUGACGUCUUCGUUUAGAUUUUCACACGUUAUGUUUAUCAGAGUUGAACGAAUUUAAUUCUCAUUGAACUCUUCACAUUUCGAGACAUUUGCCAUUAUCAUUUCACGCCACCCAUGAUCAUUUUUGGUUUCGUUUACAAUUCAUAUUCAUAGAUAUCUAGUAAUACUCCAAGUGCUUCUUCGGCUGCCUUAUGCAGCACAUUAAUUGCAUAGGCGCCAUUCGGUUUGUUCCAUAUUUAUAGUUUCUUUUAUACAAAUACUAAUAUUAGCAACUGAGAUGUGGCAACUCGGAAGAUGCAAUUAAACAACAACUUAUCGUGUAUAAAUAAUAUUUUUUG